UACGAAGGGGGCUAGCGUUGCUCGGAAUCACUGGGCGUAAAGGGUGCGUAGGCGGGUCUUUAAGUCAGGGGUGAAAUCCUGGAGCUCAACUCCAGAACUGCCUUUGAUACUGAAGAUCUUGAGUUCGGGAGAGGUGAGUGGAACUGCGAGUGUAGAGGGUGAAAUUCGUAGAUAUUCGUCAAGAACACCAGUGGCGAAGGCGGACUCACUGGCCCGAUACCUGACGC
rnacentral:rRNA from 1 species